GAUGACAAGAGGCAGCACGGGGUGAAUGCAGGCACGGGGUGGCCCCCGAGGGACAUGUCACUGACAACGGAUGGGCAUCUGGCGCUUGGCUGGGGCAGGGGCGUCUGAAGAAAAACCGAGGGGCUUCGGUGUUGCUUUUAACAAGAUGUUCAGAAAAAAAAAGUAUCAGGCACACGUUGACUGCGCUUCCUCUGCUCCUUGCUUUGGAGGUGAUAUCGCUUGGUGCUUAUCAGCGACAACGUCUGCGGCAUCUGACUUGGCACCAGGAUGAGGCCCGGGAGUUUUAUCUGAGUAAAGGCUACUAGAUCCACUCUGAGGAUGCAGUAGAUUAAUUGAUCAUUUCUAGGGAGUCUGUUGGGAUGAAUCAAAAACCUUAAAAGCACUGGCAGCAUCUGUGAUAGGCCAUUAACAAGGCUGAUGGUGAUGAAGAAGCAAUGUGGCCUCGAUGCUGCUCAAACCCUACCAGCCCUGACCAGGAGCUGCAUGUGAGGCCUUCUUUUUCACCCGUGAAAGGGUGCCAAGCACAGCCCAGUCAGCAUUGUGAGCUCUCAUUUGUUACAUCUAAAGAGUAUUUUUAGAAGUGUGGAGAAUAUCUCUGCAUGUUUCAAAGUAUCAAUGCUAUUACACAGCCCAAAAUUACUUGACAGCUCAGAAAGCAAAAGCAAUUGAUACCCGAAUCCAGGUCUGCUCCGUAAGUGUUCACAUGUGCGAAACAAUAUGUGAUCCACAAAAACAUAUGGCUCUUGUAUCAAAUACAUGAAAUCAAGUUGAAUUAUGAAGACUUUGAAAACGUCCUCAGUUUAAAUGUACACGGCUCUCUGAAAUGUCCAGCUAAGUUUAAUGCAACAAUUAAAACCAGAUAGAUUGUCAGGAUUCAUAGACCAGGGAUAGAGUUAAUUCAGUAUGAAAGAAAUGAAUGACUGGAAAGAAGACAGAAGAACAGAAGUGGCAGGAAAAGAAUAAGAAUGAGUGGAGGGAUGAAAUGCUAGUAUGGGGGGGAAGGGAGAGUGAGGAAUAGAAGGGGGAAAGAAUGAAGUGAAAUUAACGAGAAAGAAAAACAUGAAAGAUGGAGAUGAGAUAGGAAAGAGGAGAGCAGCAAGAAAAAUAAUGACACUUUAUUGUGUCAUCUCUCAGCUUUUACUGUAGAAAAACUAAGCCUGUAGCAUGAAGGUUACUACUUAUGUAUUGAAAGUGCGUGGGAGGGUUUUUUUUCCAUAGUUAUAGAUAUAUAUGUGUGUGUCCAUGUAAUUACAUACAAAAAAUGACACAGAAAUUUCAGUCUUCCUGGGGAUCUCCCACUGUUCCCCAUACUCUCAGUUUUCCCACGCUGCCACAAUUCCAGCAGCAGUAAUGCCUUUUUCCAUGCAGUGCUGUGAGCCAGGACUUUCAGUUUGCUGGUUUUUUCUGUCCUGCCUUCUAAGAGCUGGAAAUGGGGGUUCUGGCUCCUCUGUCCUGCAGCCCCCAACUUUGGGGCUGUCCACUUAGAUACCACAGUUGUUUGCAAUUGCUGUUUCCUCCUGUUGAUACUCAUGGCAACAUUUUCAUUUUGCACUGACUGAUCCAAAAUAUAUCAACUGUUUUGUUGUUGAAUUAGUGUCAUUGUUUUUGCCUUGUCUGUUCCUGUGCAUGCAAGCUGCUAGUAAAACAGCAUAACUUUUCAUGCUUUUUAGGGCUGAAAGAGUCAUUGAGUGAUCUUGAAAUUAUCUAUUUGAUAAUUCAACAAUGCUAAAUAUUGACCACAAUCUCUCUGCCUUCUUUAAGAUAGGCCCUUUCUUACUGUAUCAUCAUCUUCUACCUUUGACUUGGGCACUACUGGGACCAUCAGUGGCAUAUCUUUGACUGAGAGUGUUUAUGCUCAUGGCCAGUAAACUGUGCUCUGUUAUUGUGUGGGGAAUAACACACUCAGCAAGCUAAACUGGAUUGCCCAUCCAUGUGGCUUCAGCAAGGCUGUCUUGGGGAGACAGAGGCAAUAGAUGAGGUUUCUGGCUUGGGUGUGACAUGCAUUUCUCUAGCCAGCUGGGGAUCCCAAGCAAUUGCUGAUGCCUGCUGCAGUGGGUGUGCUCCCAAACCUCCUGCAUCUGUCUGUCCAUGCAUUGGGCUGACUCUCCUCAUUAAACCAAAUACGCAUUUUCUGGAUCUUCUUUUCUUAACACGAGGUUCAUUUCAAAGCUGCCCAGGGUCCCUGCAUGUGCCCUUCUCUUGCUCGAGGUGAAACUGUGGCACCCACCACAUUUAGGGUGUUGAGGAUGGUGCAAAGUUUCCUUUCUUGCCCACUGAUAGGUUUGUUGCUGUAUGUCUCAUGCCUGUACCCUUACAGCCAGCUCCUGGGCUCGCACCGAUCCCUUUGGGUGUGCCAUUCCAGCUCCAGUUUGUCUUGCCUUAGACAUUCUCCUCAAGCUGUGAGGAAGGUCAGACUCCUUUAGUUUUCUCCCGCACACUGUGGAGAGUUUCCUCUUCUCCAUAGGUGUCCUCAGGUCCUCCCAUGAUUGUGUUUAUCCCUUGUCCCUCCAGGGAGGGCCACUUUAUGAGGAGUCCAAGGAUUUUGUGGUUCAGUGAUGGAUACUUUAUUUCGUGGCGCUGUUGGAAGUGGCAUUUCAGCAUUUUGUUAGUGACCUGCAUGCUUCACUCCUAUGCCCUGUCACAGUUGGCACUGUUCACCUUUUUCAGGUGUUCUAGUUUAAGCAUGGAUCCCGGGUUCCUUAACAGUACAUGGUUAAUCUGUAAUUCUUCUAAAACCAAAAUGGCCUCUGGCCAUUACUGGACUAUUUCUGAAUGUCUUUUCUGCUGGUUUGUGUAAAAAUCUGAGCUAAAUUUUGCCAUUCUCCCAUAUCAUUUCCCUGUUUCAUUUCUCGUCGUUCUAAUAAUCCUGUGACGAAGACAAGAAACAGAAACAUGGAUGUUUAACACUUAACAAUGUCUUAUUGUCUUACUGCUUUUGGAAAAGCAAAUGGAAGAGGAAAAACCUCACAUAGGGCUAUAAACAAAACAGAAGGAAGUGAGUUCACUGUCCACGGGAAAGCGCAGCUCUCCUGUGAAGGAGAUUUUUGUUUCAGUCAAGGGGAAAUGCACCACUGGUCUGGUACUGAGCAGUUCUUUUCAGCAGGCUGCAAUGCUGAAAAGAACUUGUCAGGAAACCCCACAUAUGUCAUGCGUACCUUGGGAGUCUUUCUGAUGGACAUGAGGCCUCUAGAGUCUGAGGCAGAAUCAGAGCCGCAUUGGAGAAUUGGGGACAAAAUAGUUAAAAGCUCCUUAAAAAUUCUACACACUUAGUGAUCUUUGUAAGAAUAGCAAAAACCUAGAUUACUUAAUGUCUCAAGUUUGAUAAAGCACAAAUAUGACUGAGUACCCUAAUUUUUUUCCUUUCCUCCAGAAGAUGGCAAAAGUUAGCUGCAUUUAACACAGGCAGAGGGAGGCAAAUGUUGCAGGGCUGUUCGUGCUAUGCCCUGGU